rnacentral:lncRNA from 1 species
CCCGCAGCUCGGGGUAGCUCCUGAGUGCUCCCACUGGUUGCCCUUUGCGGAGGCCUCUUGGAGCAGCGUCGCUCUGCUGCUGGGGCGAGGCUGCGGACGUCAGUGUGCUUUAGCUGCGGCUACUCACAGCCUUUUAAACUUUAAACAGCGGCGGGACGGGAGGAACGCAGAGAUAAAUGGGCGAAAUGCACCUCCAGGCCUUCUGACAUUUCGUGUUUUAGGUAUUCCAAAGUUCAUGGACUCGUAG